UGUAUUUAGUUCCCAGCAGAUGUCUGGUAGGUUGAAGUCACCUACAAGAACAAGGGCAGAUGAUCCUGAAACAUUCUCCAGCUGCUUAAAGAAUAAGGUGUCCACCUGUUCUUCCUGACUGGGUGGACAAUAACAGACUCCCAGUAGGAUGCCAGUGGGAGGUUUGAGAGUCCUCUGACUCCUGAUGGGCCUCCCUCAAGGAUGGAAGAGUGGAACUCCACC